GAGGGUGUAGCUCAGUGGUAGAGCGUGUGCUUAGUAUGCACAAGGUCCUGGGUUCAAUCCCCAGUCCCUCCA
rnacentral:tRNA from 1 species